AUGAACGCUGGCGGCGUGCCUAAUACAUGCAAGUCGAGCGAACGGACGAGAAGCUUGCUUCUCUGAUGUUAGCGGCGGACGGGUGAGUAACACGUGGAUAACCUACCUAUAAGACUGGGAUAACUUCGGGAAACCGGAGCUAAUACCGGAUAAUAUUUUGAACCGCAUGGUUCAAAAGUGAAAGACGGUCUUGCUGUCACUUAUAGAUGGAUCCGCGCUGCAUUAGCUAGUUGGUAAGGUAACGGCUUACCAAGGCAACGAUGCAUAGCCGACCUGAAAGGGUGAUCGGCCACACUGGAACUGAGACACGGUCCAGACUCCUACGGGAGGCAGCAGUAGGGAAUCUUCCGCAAUGGGCGAAAGCCUGACGGAGCAACGCCGCGUGAGUGAUGAAGGUCUUCGGAUCGUAAAACUCUGUUAUUAGGGAAGAACAUAUGUGUAAGUAACUGUGCACAUCUUGACGGUACCUAAUCAGAAAGCCACGGCUAACUACGUG
rnacentral:rRNA from 1 species